GACGAACGCUGGCGGCGUGCUUAACACAUGCAAGUCGUACGGUAAGGCCCUUUCGGGGGUACCCGAGUGGCGAACGGGUGAGUAACACGUGAGUAACCUGCCCACAACUUUGGGAUAACGCUAGGAAACUGGUGCUAAUACUGGAUAUGUGCUCCUGCUGCAUGGUGGGGGUUGGAAAGCUCCGGCGGUUGUGGAUGGACUCGCGGCCUAUCAGCUUGUUGGUGGGGUAGUGGCCUACCAAGGCGGCGACGGGUAGCCGGCCUGAGAGGGUGACCGGCCACAUUGGGACUGAGAUACGGCCCAGACUCCUACGGGAGGCAGCAGGGGGGAAUAUUGCACAAUGGGCGCAAGCCUGAUGCAGCAACGCCGCGUGCGGGAUGACGGCCUUCGGGUUGUAAACCGCUUUCAGCAGGGACGAAGCUUUUUGUGACGGUACCUGCAGAAGAAGCACCGGCUAACUACGUG
rnacentral:rRNA from 1 species